AAGGAAUUUCAAAACACGUUUAGCCGAACUACACACAAAAUUGUAUUUCGUCAGCAAACGGCUUAUUGUCGCAUACAGAUAUAAAUUGAAUAAAUGUAUGUAUCCUACCUUCAUACCUACAACAAUGCACCCACCAUCAAUACCAGUUUUAGAUCCUGAGCGGAGCGAGGAAUGUAUCAGUUUUACAAUAAUGUUUAUUUUUUUUUCUGUGAAUAAAUUUUCUACCAGAAAUUUUAAUCGGAUUAUUAAGUGUAACACUUUUACUGAAAGGAAAUCUGACCGGGAUGGUACCUUAGUGAGGUAAAUUUUGAUUUUCCUUGGAGUUUUCGUAAUAAACGGGCAAAUGUUCGAAAUGUAUUAUUAUCAAAUCAUAAAUAUUACGGCCUUUCGAAAAACAUGUACAACUGAACUCCGCUCAGAAUAGUUUUUCGUUAGCAAUGAUUAAUCGCUGCGUACAGAUACAGUGGAACCUCGAUUAUCCGGGGGAACGGUGGAUAGGGGGUCACACAGAUAAAUGAAAACCACGGUUAAUC